rnacentral:lncRNA from 1 species
AUGGAAGGAGGGGGGUCUGGGAGGGCAGCUUGUGUCUUGCUCACAGGGGUGCCCCAGCACCCCUCCGGAUGCCCAGCCUGCAGUGGGGCCUGGUAUACGCCCUUGAGGUGCAGCCCCGAGGCUGGUCCUCACCUUCCCUUGCCGGCGCCCCCAGGUGCUGUCCUUCUACAACGUCAGUCAGAUGGGCGUGCUGCUGACUGGGGUGGGCACGCAGGCCUUCCAUGCCAUGGACCGCAGGGACCUCAUGCAGCUCCUAAGAAGCGCCACCUCCCUGCACGUGUCCGACUUGUCACCUGCCCAGCAGCACGGAGUCCUGAGCAAGGUGAUGGAAGCGGGAGAUACUGUCUCUGGCAUUGUUGAAAUACAGGGUGCUUUCUUUAAGGAAGUGUCUCUCUUUGAUUUAUGGAGGGAACCUGGAUUCAACUCCACAGUCCUGAAGGCAAAGGAGAUCCGGAGGAGUCAGGUAUGACUGCAAUGCCCAGAGGUGGUGCCUGGACUUCUGAUUGUCUUAUGGGAAAGGUCUGUUCUAAGGUUAACUUGG